UACGUAGGAGACGAGCGUUGUCCGGAGUUACUGGGCGUAAAGGGUGCGCAGGUGGCGGCGCGCGUGGGGGGUGAAAUCGCCCGGCUUAACUGGGCGGGGGCCUUCCAGACGGCGUGGCUUGAGCAGCGGAGGGGGACGUGGAAUUCCGGGUGGAGCGGUGAAAUGCGUAGAGAUCCGGAGGAACACCGACGGCGCAGGCAGCGUCAUGGCCGCUUGCUGACACUGAGGCACGAAAGCUGGGGGAGCAAACAGG
rnacentral:rRNA from 1 species